AUUGAACGCUGGCGGCAUGCCUUACACAUGCAAGUCAACGGCAGCACGGGAGCAAUCCUGGUGGCGAGUGGCGAACGGGUGAGUAAUAUAUCGGAACGUGCCCAGUCGUGGGGGAUAACGUAGCGAAAGCUACGCUAAUACCGCAUACGAUCUACGGAUGAAANCGGGGGGUCGCAAGACCUCGCGCGAUUGGAGCGGCCGAUAUCAGAUUAGGUAGUUGGUGAGGUAAAGGCUCACCAAGCCGACGAUCUGUAGCUGGUCUGAGAGGACGACCAGCCACACUGGGACUGAGACACGGCCCAGACUCCUACGGGAGGCAGCAGUGGGGAAUUUUGGACAAUGGGCGCAAGCCUGAUCCAGCAAUGCCGCGUGCAGGAUGAAGGCCUUCGGGUUGUAAACUGCUUUUGUACGGAACGAAACGGUGAGCUCUAAUACAGUUUGCUAAUGACGGUACCGUAAGAAUAAGCACCGGCUAACUACGUG
rnacentral:rRNA from 1 species